rnacentral:rRNA from 1 species
CAGCAGCCACGGUAAUACGUAGGUCCCGAGCGUUGUCCGGAUUUAUUGGGCGUAAAGGGAGCGCAGGCGGUUUAGUAAGUCUGAAGUUAAAGGCGUUGGCUCAACCAAUGUAUGCUUUGGAAACUGUUAGACUUGAGUGCAGAAGGGGAGAGUGGAAUUCCAUGUGUAGCGGUGAAAUGCGUAGAUAUAUGGAGGAACACCGGUGGCGAAAGCGGCUCUCUGGUCUGUCACUGACGCUGAGGCUCGAAAGCGUGGGUAGCGAACAGGAUUAGAUACCCGUGUAGUCCCUGUCUCUUAUACU